rnacentral:tRNA from 1 species
CGCGGGGUAGAGCAAUCCGGUUAGCUCGUCGGGCUCAUAACCCGGAGGUUGCAGGUUCAAAUCCUGUCCCCGCUA